rnacentral:tRNA from 1 species
UAGCUCAGAUGGUAAAGCGUCUGCCUACAAUGCAGGAGACCCAGGUUCAAGCCCUGG